rnacentral:rRNA from 1 species
GAUGAACGCUGGCGGCGUGCCUAAUACAUGCAAGUCGAGCGAAUGGAUUAAGAGCUUGCUCUUAUGAAGUUAGCGGCGGACGGGUGAGUAACACGUGGGUAACCUGCCCAUGAGACUGGGAUAACUCCGGGAAACCGGGGCUAAUACCGGAUAACAUUUUGAACCGCAUGGUUCGAAAUUGAAAGGCGGCUUCGGCUGUCACUUAUGGAUGGACCCGCGUCGCAUUAGCUAGUUGGUGAGGUAACGGCUCACCAAGGCAACGAUGCGUAGCCGACCUGAGAGGGUGAUCGGCCACACUGAGACUGAGACACAGCCCAGACUCCUACGAGAGGCAGCAGUGGGGAAUCUUCCGCAAUGGACGAAAGUCUGACGGAGCAACGCCGCGUGAGUGAUGAAGGCUUUCGGGUCGUAAAACUCUGUUGUUAGGGAAGAACAAGUGCUAGUUGAAUAAGCUGGCACCUUGACGGUACCUAACCAGAAAGCCACGGCUAACUACGUGCCAGCCGCCGCAGUAA